AAGUCGUAACAAGGUUUCCGUAGGUGAACCUGCGGAAGGAUCAUUAACAAAAUUGUGGAGGUAAGCAGUGACCGCAAGGAAGCUGUGAAGCCGCCAAUCAACCUUUGUGAAUCGGGUCGAGCGACACGUGCCAACUAAUACUUGGUGCUUGCAGCGCGGCUUAGAAGGGAUGGGUAGAUGAACGAUGGUAUGGCGUGGGCUGGUGCUUAACGGCGCUGGCUUUACAAAGUGCUGUCCUCAUCAUAUAUAUUAAAGUCUAAUAACAUGUCGAAAGACAACUAAUACAACUCUUAACAAUGGAUAUCUAGGUUCUC
rnacentral:misc_RNA from 1 species